rnacentral:lncRNA from 1 species
GGUUUUGGACCAUGAGCUACACAAGAUCGGGAGGUCAUGAUGAUCGACGUAGAUUGGAGAGUCCCCUUCAUCAACUACAUCAAAGAGCACAAGUUAGCUUCAGACAAGACAAAAGCAGAGCAAGUUUUAAGACGUAGCAAGAACUAUGUUCUAGUUGGAGACAAGCUUUACAAAAGAGGCGCAUCGUUAGGAGUACUCACGAAGUGCGUCUCACAGCAAG